rnacentral:lncRNA from 1 species
GAGUGAUGGAGGAGGAUAUAUACUGCUGUGUACUCGACCAGCGGGUGAGAGCAGCCGGCACCAGCUCUGGACAACGUCGGAGUGGACGAGGCCCAGAUCCCGUGGGGAGGAAGGUCUACACUAACAUGUAAAAGAACAUGGAUUGGAAAGUCCUAAACUACAUUCCUGGAGUUUGAAGGUGUCGAUUGGCAUUCAGAAUCAGAUUACAAUGGUAUCCAAGCAUUGACUGACUUGAAGUGUGGCUGUUCUACUCUGCACAUCUAAAGCUGGUUGUGGAGGGUCCUUCCAACAUAAUUUCAGGGAUGGUGUACAGGACAAUUGGUGAAAGUUAUGCUACAGAAAAUAGCAGUUGUGUGUGAGAAUUAGUUGGCAAAAAAUAUGGAUUGGGAAGUGCAGAACUACAUCCUGGAGUUUGAAAGUGUUGAAUGCUUGACAUUGAGAAUAAGGUGCUAAUGAAGAUUACAAUGGUACCAAAGCAGUGAGGCUAUUCUACUCUACACAUCCAAUAAACUGGUGGAUGAUUUCCUUGGUACUCUGGAGUUUUCCCUGGCCUUGAUGAUCUUUUGGAGUCUUCAGUGGAUUGCAUCUAGGAGGAGCAGCUUCCCACAACCUGAAAUGGACAAUAGUCAAUAUUAGAUGUUACACUGUAUACUAUGCAAUAAAUAUUCUAAUGAAACUA